rnacentral:rRNA from 1 species
ACAGAGGGUGCAAACGUUGUUCGGAAUUACUGGGCGUAAAGCGAGUGUAGGCGGUUUGAUAAGUCGGAUGUGAAAGCCCCGGGCUCAACCCGGGAAGUGCACUCGAUACUGUCAAGCUAGAGUAUCGGAGAGGUUGGUGGAAUUCUCGGUGUAGAGGUGAAAUUCGUAGAUAUCGAGAGGAACACCGGUGGCGAAGGCGGCCAACUGGACGAAUACUGACGCUGAGACUCGAAAGCGUGGGGAGCAAACAGGAUUAGAUACCCUGGUAGUCCACGCCGUAAACGAUGGGUGCUAGGUGUCGCGGGCUUUGACUCCUGCGGUGCCGUAGCUAACGCAUUAAGCACCCCGCCUGGGAAGUACGGCCGCAAGGCUA